AUUACAGUGCGAGGUAACAGUUACAGCCUUAGAUGAAUUGAAAACAACUUUGUUAGUGUGUUUUGUCAAGCUGAAUACAUUUGCUUUGGCAAUGAUCAACAGCAGUACACGGUAAUGGAGAACGACAGAGGGAAGAACAAAAAACCAACUUGUUGGAGCUACCCGGUCACAAGAGGCUCUACAAUCACCUGACCAAAGCUGUUAGCCAAGUCUAAAACCUUGGAGGACCAACAGGAACUCAAAGCACAUGUCAACACAAGACGUCAUGGGUGUAAUAAAAAUGAUGGAAUGCACAACC